GCCCGGAUAGUUUAACGGUUAGAACAUGGGUCUCAUAUUCUAAGGAUAUGAGCGAGCACAGCUCGUAUACCCCCAUUCGCCUGACACAGGUGAUCCCAAGAUCUGAGUUCGAUUCUCAGUCCAGGCA
rnacentral:tRNA from 1 species